rnacentral:snoRNA from 1 species
CUGGAAUGAUGAACAGACUUUGCUCUGUUACCUUGCUGAGCCCUGCGGGCCUGAAGCUUUAGUUCUACACGAGAUUUCUGACCAG